CUGCGGUGACGACUUUCUUAGGAAAACUUUGGAUUUAAGCGUGAAAAGAAAUUGUAAUUUCUGAGCAGC